rnacentral:rRNA from 1 species
GUGACUGCGUACCUUUUGUAUAAUGGGUCAGCGACUUAUAUUCUGUAGCAAGGUUAACCGAAUAGGGGAGCCGAAGGGAAACCGAGUCUUAACUGGGCGUUAAGUUGCAGGGUAUAGACCCGAAACCCGGUGAUCUAGCCAUGGGCAGGUUGAAGGUUGGGUAACACUAACUGGAGGACCGAACCGACUAAUGUUGAAAAAUUAGCGGAUGACUUGUGGCUGGGGGUGAAAGGCCAAUCAAACCGGGAGAUAGCUGGUUCUCCCCGAAAGCUAUUUAGGUAGCGCCUCGUGAAUUCAUCUCCGGGGGUAGAGCACUGUUUCGGCAAGGGGGUCAUCCCGACUUACCAACCCGAUGCAAACUGCGAAUACCGGAGAAUGUUAUCACGGGAGACACACGGCGGGUGCUAACGUCCGUCGUGAAGAGGGAAACAACCCAGACCGCCAGCUAAGGUCCCAAAGUCAUGGUUAAGUGGGAAACGAUGUGGGAAGGCCCAGACAGCCAGGAUGUUGGCUUAGAAGCAGCCAUCAUUUAAAGAAAGCGUAAUAGCUCACUGGUCGAGUCGGCCUGCGCGGAAGAUGUAACGGGGCUAAACCAUGCACCGAAGCUGCGGCAGCGACGCUGAUGCGUUGUUGGGUAGGGGAGCGUUCUGUAAGCCUGUGAAGGUGUACUGUGAGGUAUGCUGGAGGUAUCAGAAGUGCGAAUGCUGACAUAAGUAACGAUAAAGCGGGUGAAAAGCCCGCUCGCCGGAAGACCAAGGGUUCCUGUCCAACGUUAAUCGGGGCAGGGUGAGUCGACCCCUAAGGCGAGGCCGAAAGGCGUAGUCGAUGGGAAACAGGUUAAUAUUCCUGUACUUGGUGUUACUGCGAAGGGGGGACGGAGAAGGCUAUGUUGGCCGGGCGACGGUUGUCCCGGUUUAAGCGUGUAGGCUGGUUUUCCAGGCAAAUCCGGAAAAUCAAGGCUGAGGCGUGAUGACGAAGCACUACGGUGCUGAAGCAACAAAUGCCCUGCUUCCAGGAAAAGCCUCUAAGCAUCAGGUAACAUCAAAUCGUACCCCAAACCGACACAGGUGGUCAGGUAGAGAAUACCAAGGCGCUUGAGAGAACUCGGGUGAAGGAACUAGGCAAAAUGGUGCCGUAACUUCGGGAGAAGGCACGCUGAUAUGUAGGUGAAGCGACUUGCUCGUGGAGCUGAAAUCAGUCGAAGAUACCAGCUGGCUGCAACUGUUUAUUAAAAACACAGCACUGUGCAAACACGAAAGUGGACGUAUACGGUGUGACGCCUGCCCGGUGCCGGAAGGUUAAUUGAUGGGGUCAGCGCAAGCGAAGCUCUUGAUCGAAGCCCCGGUAAACGGCGGCCGUAACUAUAACGGUCCUAAGGUAGCGAAAUUCCUUGUCGGGUAAGUUCCGACCUGCACGAAUGGCGUAAUGAUGGCCAGGCUGUCUCCACCCGAGACUCAGUGAAAUUGAACUCGCUGUGAAGAUGCAGUGUACCCGCGGCAAGACGGAAAGACCCCGUGAACCUUUACUAUAGCUUGACACUGAACAUUGAGCCUUGAUGUGUAGGAUAGGUGGGAGGCUUUGAAGUGUGGACGCCAGUCUGCAUGGAGCCGACCUUGAAAUACCACCCUUUAAUGUUUGAUGUUCUAACGUGGACCCGUAAUCCGGGUUGCGGACAGUGUCUGGUGGGUAGUUUGACUGGGGCGGUCUCCUCCUAAAGAGUAACGGAGGAGCACGAAGGUUGGCUAAUCCUGGUCGGACAUCAGGAGGUUAGUGCAAUGGCAUAAGCCAGCUUGACUGCGAGCGUGACGGCGCGAGCAGGUGCGAAAGCAGGUCAUAGUGAUCCGGUGGUUCUGAAUGGAAGGGCCAUCGCUCAACGGAUAAAAGGUACUCCGGGGAUAACAGGCUGAUACCGCCCAAGAGUUCAUAUCGACGGCGGUGUUUGGCACCUCGAUGUCGGCUCAUCACAUCCUGGGGCUGAAGUAGGUCCCAAGGGUAUGGCUGUUCGCCAUUUAAAGUGGUACGCGAGCUGGGUUUAGAACGUCGUGAGACAGUUCGGUCCCUAUCUGCCGUGGGCGCUGGAGAACUGAGGGGGGCUGCUCCUAGUACGAGAGGACCGGAGUGGACGCAUCACUGGUGUUCGGGUUGUCAUGCCAAUGGCACUGCCCGGUAGCUAAAUGCGGAAGAGAUAAGUGCUGAAAGCAUCUAAGCACGAAACUUGCCCCGAGAUGAGUUCUCCCUGACUCCUUGAGAGUCCUGAAGGAACGUUGAAGACGACGACGUUGAUAGGCCGGGUGUGUAAGCGCAGCGAUGCGUUGAGCUAACCGGUACUAAUGAACCGUGAGGCUUAACCUUACAACGCCGAAGCUGUU